CACGUAGGCACCAAGCGUUGUCCGGAUUUAUUGGGCGUAAAGGGCUCGUAGGCGGCCAACUAAGUCGGAUGUGAAAUCCCCAGGCUUAACCUGGGAACUGCAUCCGAUACUGGAUGGCUUGAAUCCGGGAGAGGGAUGCAGAAUUCCAGGUGUAGCGGUGAAAUGCGUAGAUAUCUGGAGGAAUACCGGUGGCGAAGGCGGCAUCCUGGACCGGCAUUGACGCUGAGGAGCGAAAGCUAGGGGAGCAAACGGG
rnacentral:rRNA from 1 species